UGAUAUUCGAUGAUGAUAUAAUUUCUUACUAUUUUUAUCAUAAUGCAGAUUUUUUUUGUUAUAUUUUAAUGGGGAGCUGUAGCAAAGAACUACCCUUUUUUUUCUUCUCUGUGACAAAGGAAAGCUUCCAGGAGACUUUCAAUUCAUGGAAAACUGACCAUUUUUAUUACAAAUACAACAAACGACAAGGAAACAAGGCAUAGAAGGAAGCGAACCAGAAACAAUGGCCACUCAAUCCUUUCUUUCCAGGUUCUCUCUUUGCUAAACAAAGGAUUCUUGCAACCAAAACAGAGGAGAAUCAGUCAAAUAGAUAGUGUCAAGCAGGCGGCGCAGUGGUGAAUCAGUAUAAAUCAAUGCUGUUGGAUCUGUGGUCAGUGAUGUUGAUUCUGCGCAAUGAUUGGCCCUCAACUAAUUGAACUGUGGUAUGUCCUUAUGAUCCUUUUGCUUCUUCUGUAGAUUGUAGAACUCGUGAAUUGCUGCCACACACUUGUAAUGUCAUUGAUCGAGCAAAUGUAGAUAAACAGUAAGUGUGCCAUCGAUUCUGGCUUUCUAUUUGGUAAGCGAUCAAGAGACAACCCAUGUUUUUGAUCAAUUGAGAGCAUAAUGACUUUCUAUUUGGUUUUUCAUGCUCGGUUUGUGCUGGACUUCUAAAAAUCAUGAAUAGGCUAAUUGCCCCAAAUCCAGAUACAUGGCUUAAAAGCUCAAAAGAAUCUAAGGUUGAGACAUGCCUUCAAGCUUUUGUGGUCAAAUUUUGUUAUAGUACAAGGAGAACAAUUAGGUUUCGUUUGGCUGGUUAGUGUAAUAACGUUAAGAAAAGUUUAUUCAACUCAUAAGUACUAAAAUAGUUGUAAUGACAUCAGUACUAAAAUAGUUCACUGUUUGAUAGAGAAAAAUGUUGAACAAGUGUAUGAAAUAUCACUUUUAUCCUUAAUGAAGGGAAAAAACCUAAUAACUUAAUUUUUUUCCCGACUUGAUAAAAAUUUAAAUUGUACUUCUAUAAAUAGUCUUAAUUUUUAUUUUUCAGAAAUGAUAUACCAAAUAUAUUAUUUUUAUAAAACUACAUGCUAAAGUUUUAUAAUUUUUUAUGUGCCUAUGAAAAAUUUUUAAUUCAAAGAAUAUUGUUAAAUGAUUUUAUAAAAUAUUUAUAAAAUAAAAUUCAAACAAAAUUUGGCAUGUAAUUUUAUAGGAAUAAUAUAUUUGGAAAAAAUUGAAAGUUAUUGUUACUUCUUUUAAAUACUUUAUAAAAUUUUUAAAUUAUAUAAUUUUUAAAAAAAUUAAAGAAGAAAAAACAUAUUAGUUGAAAAUAAUGCUAGGAGUAAAGAGGGAAAACAUAUAAUUGUAGUUUUAUUUUUUGGAGGAAGAACAAUCUUGGAAACAUAAAAAUUAGAGGGAGGAAAAUUUUUUGUAUUAGAAUUUACCAUUUCAAUAAGUUAAGGAAAAACAUAAAAUUCCCGAGUUAAGGAAAAAAGUCCUAAGUGGUGUGAUAAGUAGUUGGUUCAAACAAGUGGAUAUCAUUAACUAGCAUACUUAAAAGGUGUAUUACAAUGUUACUACUCCUCCAAACGAGGGCUUUUAAUUGUUCGGGUUUCUAGUUUCCUUCGUUAGUUUUUUUUUUUUUUUUUUUCUCCUUCUUCUAAUUUCUCACUUUUACAUAACUUUUAGGAGCUAGAGCUGCCUGUUUUGACUAGCCAUGUACCAAAUACUGCUAAUUUAUGUUGUUUGACUCUUCAUUUUGCUUGAAGUACUUGUUUCUGACUUAUAUCUGAACAUAGGUAUGGAGAUAAGACCCUGCAAUGACCUGUAUAUACAUGUUGCUCCAGCCCUUCAUUUUGCUUCGAGUUCAUGUUUCCAACUUAUAUUUGAACUCAGAUAUGGAGAUAAAUCCUUCAAUGACCCACAAACUAUGGUACUUCAACUUUCAGCUUUCUUAAAGUAUCUGUUUCCGACUUAUAUUCAGACAUGGAUAAGGAGAAAAGACCCUCUAAUGACCCUUCAAAUACAUUGAAAAGCUUAGAAAAAAUUGAACAUACUCAUGUAGGAAAACAACCCAAUUCCAACACUUACACCUGAGUCCAAGUAACGCAACUGCCAACAUCAUGCAUUCAAUGUAUCUAAUUUCAAUUAAACUCUUAAUGUUAAAAACAUUAAAAGAGACAAAGAGCUAAAGACUAGAAAUAAAAUUGCUCAUGAUAUUUUAAUUCUAUCAUUUGAUUUACUAGUGCCAAAAGCUAGCUGAUGAUUUCUCUUUGGAAAUUUAUGUUCACUGGAAACUAUUAGCAAAUUUGUCCCCUGUUCCUGCUUGCCACAAACAAGCACUUGAGCCAACUACUUUGGCUCUCUUUUUUGAUCUUUGUAACCAUUAUUUGCUGAGCAUCUCAUGAAUCAAAAUUGGUUGUGCAGUCAGUUUCAUUGCCGUUCAUCUCAAUGGACCCGCUUCUUUUUUCACUUUCAGUCGGAUGAUAAUAUUUUGAUUACUAAUGAUAUUCUUUUGUCAUGUCUAAUCUGGAGCCAGUUGCAUUAGCAACAAUAUAGGGUAAGUUCUGAUAUCAAGCUCAGGGCCUGCCAAGCGAGGGUAUGACCUAGUUGGUAAGGCAAUGGGAAAUUAUGUUAGUCAGACUGGGUAUAAGUGCUAGAUACAUGUAUGUUUUUUCAUAUAUUUGGAGGGUCAUAUCCCUAUACCCAUAUUAUGAUGUUAAGCUCAAGUAGUUAAAAAGAAAAAUGAAAGAGUCAUAGUAAUUGUGGAACUAAUGCAUUUCAAUCCUUAUUUUAGUUAAGAAAGUAAAAACAAAAAAUCCCAGCAGUGUUGUUUGAUGUGAGAUGACUUCAAUCCUGGCGAGGAGUUGUUUGUUAUUGAAGUGAAUGUGAGACAUCAUUGUUUUGUUGGUGAUAGAUUUAAUAUAAUUUCAGUAGUUGAAAUAUGCUAAUUUAUUGCUCAACUUGUUUGUAGUAGUCUGUUGGGCAUUUGUAUUUCAAGGAUUCUUCAAAUAUAGAUGAAAGCACAUAUAUGUAUCCGAUAUAUAGAAGUGAGUUGGGAGUAGCAUCGUCAAGUUUACUUGUUGCACCCAAAAGGAAA